rnacentral:rRNA from 1 species
GACGAACGCUGGCGGCGUGCCUAAUACAUGCAAGUCGAGCGAAGCGGGGACGGGUGAGUAACACGUGGGCAACCUCCUAUAAGACUGGGAUAACUUCGGGAAACCGGAGCUAAACCGGAUACUUAUAGAUGGGCCCGCGGCGCAUUAGCUAGUUGGUGAGGUAACGGCUCACCAAGGCGACGAUGCGUAGCCGACCUGAGAGGGUGAUCGGCCACACUGGGACUGAGACACGGCCCAGACUCCUACGGGAGGCAGCAGUAGGGAAUCUUCCGCAAUGGACGAAAGUCUGACGGAGCAACGCCGCGUGAGGAUGAAGGUUUUCGGAUCGUAAAACUCUGUUGUUAGGGAAGCGGUACCUAACCAGAAAGCCACGGCUAACUACGUGCCAGCAGCCGCGGUAAUACGUAGGUGGCAAGCGUUGUCCGGAAUUAUUGGGCGUAAAGCGCGCGCAGGCGGUCUUUUAAGUCUGAUGUGAAAGCCCCCGGCUC